UACGGAGGGUGCAAGCGUUAUCCGGAUUCACUGGGUUUAAAGGGUGCGUAGGCGGGCAGGUAAGUCAGUGGUGAAAUCUUUGGGCUUAACCCGAAAACUGCCAUUGAUACUAUCUGUCUUGAAUAUUGUGGAGGUGAGCGGAAUAUGUCAUGUAGCGGUGAAAUGCUUAGAUAUGACAUAGAACACCCAUUGCGAAGGCAGCUCACUACGCAUAUAUUGACGCUGAUGCACGAAAGCGUGGGGAUCAAACAGGA
rnacentral:rRNA from 1 species